CAAAUGGAGACAUGUAGUGAGUUACCUAAAAAGGUCAUGCUGUGAUAAUGCAAUUCACUGGGAGAGAAAGCUUCGGGGCUCAGAAGCAAGGCUGGGCUGAAAACACAGAGGUCAAGGUCAUCUUAGAGGAGACACUGGGACCCGUACACACAGUCACAGAUAUGAGGUAAAAAGCAAUGCAAGUGGACGUGAUUGUCUGAGUCCAAGCUACUCAGGAAACUGAAGCAGGAGGAUCCCUUGAGCACAGAACUUCAAGGACAGCCUGGGCAACAUAGUGAGACCUCAUCCUCCCCACCCUAAAAAGCAAUGCAAAUUCAUGUUGGGGAAAGUAGAAGUUAAAUAAUGUUAGGCAUUGCUGAAUAUUCUGGACCAUCUGGAAAAUAUCACAGAGCAUACUUACACAAAUGAAGAUAACAUCCCUGGGCAGGAUGAUCUUAUGGGACCACUACCAUAUAUACAGCCCAUCACUGACCAGCACACGAUUACAGAGGGCAUGACAGUACAGGCAAAAGAGAAUAAAAAUCAUUAAUAAUCCCA